CCUCGGUUACCGUAGAUGAUGUACCGGGUGUUUGUAUGUAGCUAGCCUCCUUUCCCGAGUAACUGGGGCCAAAAACCAGUCAAAACAGUAGACUGUCUGAGUGGCCAUGUGACGUAUGUCUUGUCUGCUAGAACUCUCAAAGGCUUAAUGAAAAUGGUUGUAAAUCUCUGUUUGCCUCAUUUUCAAACAACGGUUCACUGCAACAAGUUAUGUGCAGACGGCUAUGAAGUCACAAACCUGGUAUCAGCUGACCCUGCUCUCAGGAGGCGGGGUUUCAAGUUUGAAUACUUCCUACGCCCCCCAUUACAGGUGAUUUUGAAGUUUGGGUUCCAGGUGGAGUUGAGCAGGGUGGAUGUUGAGCUGUGGCCCUGGGGAAUGGACCGGGGACAGGCCUGCAAAAGACUAGAGAUUAGCACCAGUUCUGACCUGCAGAACUGUGGUCCUACAGACCACAAACAGUUGGGGCAAAAAGAGCAGAAGAAGGAGGUGAAAGAACAACACAGACGGAAUCAGCAAAGGGAUGGGACUAAGUCAAAGCCAAGUAUUGGUACUCAGUGGAGUUUCCAGGCCCAUCAGUGGGAUGAAGAAACUCCAGAUGGGUUGCAACAUAAAGGACACGUGUCCAACAGUCAGUCCAACACAAACUCCAACUCCUCUGAUUCUGAUAUGCAGUUUAAGUUGGUCAGUCGUUGUGAGCUUAGAGAUGAAACCCACGUCUGUUUCUUCCAUUCGAACUUUCGCCCUCGGGUGCCAUUCCUCUCCCUUCCUCCUCAGCCGCCUGAGAACAGUCGGCAGGUGGAGCUGUGGAGUCGGGGUUUGGCCUCGCUGGGAGCUGUGACACAGCUUCGAGUGACCGUGCCUUUUGGUGGUGGAGGAUCGUCCUUGGGGCUGAAGGCUUUGGCUGUGUGGGGUCAGCCUGCGAGCCGCUGCACUGCAGAAGAAGUGGAGAGGAUUAAAAGGAUCCAUGAAUCUGCUCAGAGGCAGCUGUCAAAACCGGCUUUUUUCGGACGUCCGGUCAGACAAGCCACACCGCCACAGCAAUCCACUCCAAGUGUCAUCAUCCCAGAGGAAUUCCUCGAUCCGAUAACUCAGGAAGCGAUGCUGCUGCCUCUGCUGCUGCCCAGUGGCAUGUCGGUGGACAGCACCACACUGGACGAGUACCAGAAGAGGGAAGCUGGUUGGGGUCGACCUCCAAAUGACCCUUUUACGGGGGUCCCAUUCACGCCAACCUCCCAGCCUCUUCCCAACCCCCAGCUGAAAAGCCGCAUUGACCGCUACCUCCUCCAGAAAGGGAUAAUAAAGAGGGACGGCAUGCUAGGAGGGCAAAACCCAGAGGACAAUCCGCACGCCUCGAGACUUGUGACUACAGACAAGUGGGGACAAACCCAGAGUUCUCCUAGUUUUAGUGUAUCUAGCCCUGAUAACAGAGACACAAGCUUAGCUUCAGGGCAAAGAGAAAGUAAUAAGUCAGAACCAUCAUCAAGUCCUCAAAGGUUCAAAUGUAACCCUGACUUUAAAUCCAGUUCAAAAAGGAAAACUAAACUAGAACCAGGUGAAAUCGCCAAAGUGUCAACAGACGAGAGGGAACCUCUAACAAAAUACCCGAGAAAGGAUUUGUCAUCUGGGUGAAUUGAGACUUUGUGGGAAAAAUCGACCUGAACGGCUCUUUAAGUGUUGAAGGCUCCAGACCUGUCGUAGGGUCUUCCUCUUGUGGGCGGAGUCAGCCACCAACAUCAGGCUCUUGUAGUCGUUUUUCAUAUAUGUGGAAAUGCUCUCCAAUGGAUAGAUUUGUCAUUUGCAAGUUUGAGCUUGCAUACUGUUUUUUUUUCCUUCCUGUAAAAAAAGUAUCUGUUCUGGCCUUCAGCACUACACCAUAUAAGCACUAGAUGGGUUUCCUGCAGAUAUAAGAUAAAAAAAAGACUUGAAUGGCAAAGUCUUCUUGAAAUGCUGGCCUUUGCCUUUCAAAAGCCCCAAAACUUAUAUUUGUGCUUUUAUUCUGUUGACCUUCCUCUGUUAAUUUUCCUAUCCAUGUCUCAGACACCAGCAGUGGCUCUCAUGAGCAGCGUUUGGCAGAUAAUUUGGAUGAGGCGCUCUUCUCUGCCCUCAAAGGCCGACCCUCCUUUACUGCAAAUUUACCCCAACAAGGACGGGGGAUUUCUGAGCCUGACCUGCGGACCCGCGCUCCACGCUCUCCCAGCACGGCUGAAGCAGGUGGGAAGGUGUGCUCUGCUUGUUCCUGCUCUGUGUCUGUUUACUCGACGUCAGCUUCAUGCAUCUACAGACUGACCUGCAGCCACUUGCUGUGCAGGACCUGCCUGCAGAAGGAAUCAAAACCAACAAGUUCAACAUCCGCCCUUGUUUUGUGUCCAACCUGCCUAAGCCGUACUCACCGCAGUCGCAUCAUACGCGUGCAUCAUUGAUGAAUGACUGAAGAACGUGGAUUAAAGGUGUUUUGGAUGGACAGAAAUAAAAUAUUGAAAGUCCUUUUUUGUCUUGUUUUGAACUGGCAUAUAAACUAUUAAAAUUCUGUCAUCUAUCUUUGAGAUAAACAACAUUUUCCACAUGAAACUGUCCAUAUAUUUUGAUUUGAUUACUGCUUUGCACACUCUUAGCAUUCUCUAGGUGUUAAUACUUUUAUGAAUUGACAAAAGAACUCUCUUGAAGAAUUCAAAGUCCUCUAAAUUUACUUUAGUGGUACAAAAUAAUCGUGUUUGCUUCUGUUGUCCGCGAGCAGAAAUAAAAUAGGACAUCUCUGAAAGCGGCGACCUUUUCAAGUAGAACAUACUGAAAUACGUGGGUACAUAUAAAUUCUUCUCUUCUGCUCUCACUUUCCUAGCUCACUCAUUGGAAGUGUGGUUGCAGCCUUGAGUCUGCAGUCUUUUUACACAGGCUGGAAUUAUAGAAACCGUUGAUACACAAAGGGAGGCUGAGGGACUUCUGCAUUGUGAGAGAAGAAGAAAAACUGAUAGAACUUGAGCGAAAAUAGCAUUGAGCCAGAGAUGUCGUCAUUUUAAGGAAACAAAUGGGGUCAGAAUCAGCUGACCUCCCGAUGUCGUGUUUUUUCUGUUUUUGUCUGGCCCCUACCUCAUUUUUUCCCUUUCAGCGCUUCAGCAUUCAUUAUCCAACAGACCUGAACAAUCUUCUUCUGUGAUUCAUUCUGUACAUUUAAGUUAGCAUUGAAAUCAUGAUCCCUUGAACGUUCAGAGGGCUUUUUCUGUCCUUGAUUUUGUACAACUUUAUUUAUAAAAACCAUCUUCUAAGAAAUGCA